rnacentral:rRNA from 1 species
GACGAACGCUGGCGGCGUGCUUAACACAUGCAAGUCGAACGAAGAGCGAUGGAAGCUUGCUUCUAUCAAUCUUAGUGGCGAACGGGUGAGUAACGCGUAAUCAACCUGCCCUUCAGAGGGGGACAACAGUUGGAAACGACUGCUAAUACCGCAUACGAUCUAACCUCGGCAUCGAGGAAAGAUGAAAGGUGGCCUCUAUGUAUAAGCUAUCACUGAAGGAGGGGAGUGCGUCUGAUUAGCUAGUUGGAGGGGGAACGGCCCACCAAGGCGAGGAUCAGUAGCCGGUCUGAGAGGAUGAACGGCCACAUUGGGACUGAGACACGGCCCAGACUCCUACGGGAGGCAGCAGUGGGGAAUCUUCCGCAAUGGACGAAAGUCUGACGGAGCAACGCCGCGUGAGUGAUGACGGCCGUCGGGUUGUAAAGCUCUGUUAAUCGGGACGAAAGGCCUUCUUGCGAAUAGUGAGAAGGAUUGACGGUACCGGAAUAGAAAGCCACGGCUAACUACGUG